UCGGAGAAGGGGGUAUAUUCAAACUUCUUGGCUAUUAUUUUGAAGAACUAGAGGAUUCCUAAGCCAGUCAGCCCAAAGAGUAGAUGAUCUGAAAAGCUGCAGAGUAAAGAAACCAUGCCAGUUGCUGCUACUAUAGACAGACAGAGAAGAAAUCCCCUCCGAGCCCCAUGGGUUUACAGAAGUCUAUCCAUCACUCUGUCAGUCUUCCGGAUCAUUAUUCAAGUUGCUAUCCCCAAUUUUGCUGGAUAUAUCAGAUCAACUCCAGCUCCAUAGAUGGACAGUGUGUUUUCUUCCUAUUUUUAAAAACAGCAAAGAGGAGAACUGGUGAAUAUUAUAAGGACACACUAAAAAGUAUGUUGUUACUAUGGCAAUAAAAAAGAGAACAAAUG